UACGGAGGGAGCUAGCGUUGUCCGGAUUUAUUGGGUUUAAAGGGUGCGUAGGCGGAUGCUUAAGUCAGAGGUGAAAGACGGUGGCUCAACCAUCGCAGUGCCUUUGAUACUGGGCAUCUUGAGUGCAGACGAGGUCUGUGGAAUGGAUGGUGUUGCGGUGAAAUGCUUAGAUACCAUCCAGAACACCAAUUGCGAAGGCAGCAGACUAGGGUGCAACUGACGCUGAGGCACGAAAGCGUGGGGAUCGAACAGG
rnacentral:rRNA from 1 species